UACGUAGGGUGCGAGCGUUAAUCGGAAUUACUGGGCGUAAAGCGUGCGCAGGCGGUUUUGUAAGCCAGAUGUGAAAUCCCCGGGCUUAACCUGGGAAUGGCAUUUGGGACUGCAAGGCUUGAGUGCGGCAGAGGAGACUGGAAUUCCUGGUGUAGCAGUGAAAUGCGUAGAUAUCAGGAGGAACACCGAUGGCGAAGGCAGGUCUCUGGGCUGGACACU
rnacentral:rRNA from 1 species